UUGCCAUAAAGGUUUGGCAAGAUAGUUCCUUAUGAUUAUGUAUGUUUGCUAAACGUCGUUUGUUUAUUUCCUUCUUUAUAAGGGUUUGACAAGAUAGGUCUGUAUGAUUAUGUAUGUUUGCUAAACGUCGUUUGUUUGUUUCCUUCUUUUUUAGGGGUCCUUUUAGGCAUUUUUAAAAUUGGAGAUGCAUACGUAUUACUUCUAUCGGUACUUCACCGCCCAUGUAAUCCAAUCAGAUUAGGAUACGUGUUAUUUCCCACCGCUUAGCUUUCUCCACAACCGCCAACAAUCUCUGGUUCUUCAGUCUACUUCAGUCUGCUACUUCAAUCGAUCCUUCCUAUUUUAAAAAAUGUCUCCGUCUCCUUCUCCUCCACCGGCGCUCCGGUCCGCUUUCUCCGUUAACCACGGUUGUCGGUAGAAACCAGUGUGCCUUACAAUCGCCAAGAAAAAGUCUCUUAACAUCGCAGGUUUCUAAGAACCCUAAGCUUAUGGCUGAUAUUGACAGACCUUGUUGGAUUUCAAAUGAAGAAACUUAGGGUUUCUUGCUUUCUUCUCGAUUCUAUUUUUUGGUCAACCCCUCAUGACAGUCACGUUGAAGCCGAAUUUUGUGAGAAACGGGUUCUACAAUCACUCUUCUCUACCUUCCCUGUUAAGCAAAAAAAAAAAUAAAAAAAUAAAAAAAAUAAAAAAACAAGAGAAGAUGAGCCAAAAUAUGUAAGCGACAUUUGCUUCGAUCUUAUCUCUUUCAUCAUAGAAAUAUCAAAUUUUAAAUAGGUUUCAUUACUUUGAUUUGAUGUUCUAGAUAAUUUACUGCCCAUUAAUGGAGUUUCGUAACAACUUGCACUUCCAUAGUGGUUUGCAAAAGAAUACUUGAAGACUUUGAAAGAACUUUUUUUGACCUUCUUCUUUGGUUUCGAUACUAUAUAACAACUUUUAUUUAUGACUUCAACUAUUCUUUUACAUUUGUUUUUACUUUUGUGGCUUAUAUAACGUUUGGAGUCUAAGAAAGCUGGUUUGCAUUUUAUGUCCACCAAGUGCUCGAUAUAAUGCCAACAUGAAUUAUAUUUUAUUCUUUUAACUUUUCUUUUUCAAUAUCAUGAAGAUCAUUUUCCCUGAUUCUUAUCUGGAUGCUGAGAAGAAAGACUAUGGAUAUUGAGAAGAAAAACUACGAAUGUAUCAAAUAUCAUCAAAUUUUCUUGAGCUCAAGAAGCAGAAAAUUUCUGAAACAAAAGCCGGAAUAAAUGAAGUCGAGUCUCUGGAUAUUCUUCAUUUUCAGAAGGUUCACGACUAUAGGUUAGACUCCGUUAAAUUUUCUCGCCUGAUGAUUUCGUUGGGUUCGGUCUGUAACGAGAAGAACUUUGUUCUGAUUAUCUAUCACCAGGUUUGACCAUAGUAUUUGUCCAAUAUUGAUUAUGAUAUUCCUCAUAAAGAUAUAAUCUUGUGAUUUCUUUUAUCUAUACUUAACAUCAAACAAAUUGAUAUGCAUGUGUCAACGUGAAAGUUCAUAUUGACAUCUAAUUUUCUAAUUUUGUUAGUUGAUUUUUUGUCUGUGGAUUUAGGUAUGGUAUGUAGACUUUGAUACAAAGAAAUCUGCAAAUAAAGGCCAAAAGAAUUAUGUGACGGUUUGAAAUCAGCAAGCCCUAACAUUUAUACAUCUAUGUCUAACUUUUUUAUUUUUAAUCUUUUUUAUUUUGGUUUAUUGUGGGUAAUGGGUUUGAUAUUUUUGCAUAAGGAAUAUUAAAAAAGUAAAUUUUUUGCAUUUUUAGGACCAUAUUGCCCCUACACACUUUUUAUUUUAAUAAAAUCAAGUUUUUACAGUUUUAUGACGAUAUUGCCCCUACACACUGUUAUUAUAUUAAUAAAAUUCAAUUUUUACAGUUGAAAUAAAUGAGGGUAUGUGGUCAGUUCAUAUCUCUUGCCUUAAUUUAUUAUGUUGUAGAAAACCACCUAAUUUGUAGUGGUGUUGCUUUUAUGUCAUUUUACGGUCUGAUGGGAAUCAGCAACCACUACUCUAAAUAUUUAAGCAUUUUUUUUUUAACUUUCAUUAGCAAAAAGUUCGCAUUAUAAAAAUAACAACUUAUUUGUAUUAUUUACAGUUGGUUUCUUCUUUGGAGGAAUCACGAUUGUCAGUUCUUUUUUUUGUUUACGCCUAUAUCCUGGAAUUCCAGAAGCAGAACCCAUAUCAAUUGUUUGAUAGUUUGUGAAUAUAUUCUCUAUUGGUCUCAUCUAUGUUGUUUUGAUUAGAGGAACAUGAUAAUAUGUUAGAAAGUUUUAAAUUAUUUUUCUAAAACGAAAAAAAUAUAAGUUUUUCAUGAUUUUUCUGAUAUAUUAUUUCCAACAAAAGUUGUGGUUGAAGAGGUUCAACAAGUUAGUGAAAGACAUUUGUGUUUUUUUUGAUUCCCAAAUCAAUUUUUUUCAAAGUACGAUGCCCUAAUAAGUUAAAAAUUGAAAUCAUAAUGCCAUAAUUUGGUAGAUAUUCUGAAAUUGAAAGUACAAUUUUCUAAUAUAAUUGAAUAGAAAUAAUACAAAAAUAAGUUGAAGUACAUUGCUAUAUUUGCAUUUACCUUACUCUCUCUUUCUCUAUCUACAGGUGGCAGAAUCAGUGAAUCUUUUUUUUCCAAAAAAAAAGCAAAAAAAAAUAAUAAUAAUAAGAUAGUGAUGCAAAUUCAUACUUGGGUAGCCACGAUGUUAAUAAACCAAGGAUCUGGAAAGUAUAUUCCAGAAGGGUAAAAUGGUCAAGUGAGAAAAGUGGCUGAUUAGUUGGAGGAGUGAGAAUGUAAGAAUAAAUAGAACAGGAGGAUUUUCUUAGUGGUCAUUCAUUUAUUUUGUGUGCAUGAUUGUGCUGGCUCCAUACUCUUGUGUGUGUGUGAGAGAGAGAGAGAGGGACGUUUUCCCUGGUUAUGUUCUUUUUUUUUUGCAUUUGGUUGUCAAUACAUUCCUUCCUCUAUUGUUAUUGU